ACGAAGUCGUGCCAUUUAUUCAUUGACUAGAAUUACGAUUAUUCAAUUUAUCCCUGAAACAUUAACCUGUGUAUAUAAGGGCCCCAAAGAGUUUACAGGCCGCAUUUGUUCAUUGGAUAGAAUUCCUGUAACACAGCGAUAUGAAGGCAUCUCUAGUUUUAUUGGUAUCGUUGGCUUUGGUGUCCCUGGCGCUUGGUCAGCAUCACAAUUCAUGCUUCAGUGACGCCGACUGUGAUAAGAUCUGCGGGGACGGGAUGGUGGGUCACUGCGAAUUCAACACGUGCCACUGCCACUUUGCGAACGAGUGCGUGCACGCCAGUGACUGCUCAUGCGGUGGAGGUCAGAUUGCCACGUGUGACAACCACCAAUGUCACUGUCACCACCACCGGAUGUGAGAUAUCACCUGCGUGCCGGAUCGACAUUCAUCAUGUAUCCAAAACGUCAUUGUUAUCACACUUAAAUUUGGAUUAUAUUUCCUGGAAAAUAAACCCAACUGAGAUGUU